GUGAAGCAAGGACCAGUCUCCGGUAUCCGUGUCACAGUCAGUAUCGUCCCAGCGCGCGAUUCAGUCGGUUCGGAAAUACUUUCUCGCUGAGUGUUCGAUACGCGAUACGCGCUUCUAUUGUAGUGUACUUCAGAUAAAAGAAAAAGUAUCCAUGGUGAAGUAAUUCGAGUGGGAUUGCCAACGAUCGAAGGAUGGUUUCUAUAGUUUCAAUUCUCUAUGGUGGUUUCGAUGUGUUGAUGUGCUUCAAUUAAUCAGUGUUAAACAUAGAAGAAAUCCCAUUCAAUGGAAAUUUAUUACGCAUCUAGUGAUUAAAAUAAAAAGCAGUCUAUAAGUGGAUGUUCAACUUGAACGGCUAAGAAGAGAAGCUUUACAACCCCGGUGUUACUGCAGUGAAGAGCAGUCGUUAAAAAUGUGAAUAGAAAUUGCUCAUUCCCAACCUGAUAUCGUAUACCUACUACAUACAUCCACAUCGUUAUUGGCAACGACGAAGUUCAAGCCUUAAGGGUGUUUCCAAGGACGACCGUGAAUACGUUCCGGAGCGGGACUGCAUACAGCGGAAUUGCUGCUGAAUCCACCCGGUGGUGUCCCGGUGACGUGGAGGUGUGUUGGCGGAGAAAAGCUCCAUCCAGCAGCUGCAACUUUUAAAACGCCGGCUUGGGUGGUAGCCGACAGUAGCAACCAGACAGCCAUCCUAAGCAUCCUGACUGACUGGUCCCCGCAGUGAAAAUCCAUCGAACGUGUGCAAGAGACAUCUCUCUCCGCCUCCUUCGCCGAACGCAUGCCCGAUUGUGGUGAUUGAGGGUGCGUGGAAGGCGGGGAAACCCGCGAAAAUCGAUUACUAUCGACACACUCACCAGCGCGCGCUACAAACUAGUUGAUUGGCACUUAGCAGCUCCCGCUUUUUUUUCCACCCGCUUAGCUUCCGUCGUCGGUGCUGAGUGCCUGCUUGCCUGGCCUGGCUUAUUCUCCGAGGUUCAAACGAAACGGGUUAAAAGGGGGUGCGUGGUGCUUCAUUCGUGGAAUGUGUGUGUGUUAAGACGGAGAUCCCCGAAGAGUGAUUGCUGCAACAGUCGCUGCGGAGGCGGAAGCUGAACCACGCCGUAAUCGAUUUGUGUAUUGGUCGGAAGGAAGAAUAAUAAAAGGUGGAAGUCGGAAAACGGGACGGGGUGGGAGUGAGAGGUAUAAAGGGGGCAUCGGUGCGUGUGUCACAAUAUUUAUCGUGUAAUCGGAGAUACUGCCGUCGCCUCGGGAAGAUAGUGUGAGCAAACAAGAAGCAGGAAGGAAGCCUUGUGCAACGCGUGCCCCAGUCAGUCGCGAACGGAUGCGAUAGAUCGGCGGCAGUGAUGUUGACAGCGGUGGCGUCAGUGAGGCGUUCGUAGUAGCGCCUCCGGGAGUUGAGUGUAAAGUGUGUAGAGGGUAAUCAUUAUCACUGACUGGUGGCCGCACCCUAGUGUAUCAACAACUGGUUCAUUUUAAAGUGAAGUAAAAGUAGCUGUGCAACGCUAGCAGAAGAUAUGUGAUGAAUGUGUGGCCCAGUAAGGAGCUAUAAUUGAUUCAACGGCACACUCUCCCGGGCGUGCACCAUCAUCAAUCAUCCAAAGUGAAGCACGAUGGCCAUAACGAUGUCAUCACGUGGUGGUGAGGUCACUGGGCUGCCAACGGCGAUGACCGUGACCGGAUCGUACGAGGCUUUUAGCGACGCUGUUAAUAUGACGUUCAGCUCCGUUGGGGACCCAACUGGGCGGAACAGUAGCGGCCAAGCUUUGGUCCAGGACAAUACCAGCGACGUGGUGAACAACGAGAUGGUUCAGGUGGUGUUCUGUCUGCUAUAUUCGAGCAUAUUUAUCCUGGGGAUUUUUGGAAACGUGUUGGUGUGCUACGUAGUGUUCCGGAAUAAGGCCAUGCAGUCAGUGACGAAUCUGUUCAUUACCAAUCUGGCAUUGUCGGAUAUUCUGCUGUGCGUACUGGCGGUACCUUUCACGCCUUCCUACACGUUCUUCGGCAGGUGGAUUUUCGGCAAAGUUAUCUGCCACACGGUGCCAUUGGCGCAAGGAUGCAGUGUCUACAUAUCCACCCUAACUCUGACCUCCAUAGCGAUAGAUAGGUUCUUUGUUAUAAUCUAUCCGUUUCAUCCCCGAAUGAAGCUAUCGACCUGCAUCACGAUCAUAGUCCUCAUUUGGAUAUUCUCCAUGUUGGUAACUCUUCCGUACGGUCUGUACAUGAGUCAUCACGACGACACCAACGGAACUCUAGCCAACGAAACCCUACCGGAGAAUCGAACGUUCUACUGCGAGGAACUAUGGCCAGAAGACAUGCGAAAGGUCUUCUCGAUCGCAACUUCGAUCCUGCAGUUUGUCCUGCCAUUCAUCAUCAUGGCCAUAUGCUACAUCUGUGUGUCAAUUAAGCUAAAUGAUCGCGCCCGAACGAAACCGGGAUCGAAAACUACUCGCCGAGAGGAAGCUGAACGAGAUCGUAAGAAACGCACCAACAGAAUGCUGAUCGCCAUGGUUGCAAUCUUCGGAAUCUCCUGGCUCCCACUAAACCUUGUCAACAUGAGCAACGACUUCUACUCGGAGCUCAACGAUUGGCCGUACUACAACCUACUCUUCUUCAUCGCGCAUCUGAUCGCCAUGAGUUCAACCUGCUAUAACCCGUUCCUCUACGCCUGGCUCAACGACAACUUCCGGAAGGAGUUCAAGCAGGUCCUGCCCUGUUUCAAUCCUUCGCGUGGGCGAAGUACCGUCAGCACGCGUCGCUCCGAACACCGGACCUGCAACGGCAACAACGACACCGUUCAGGAAACUCUCAUCCCUUCUUCCCAAGUGAUACCUCCGGUCUCCAACAGAUCACCUAACACCACCACUACCACUACCACCACCGAUUCCAACAAACCCUCCGUCGAUUCAAUCCUCCUGUCCGAAAUUGUACCCCCAACCUUAUCCCCAGACCCUCCUCUACUGCCAUCGAUCCAGAGCCAGGAGACGAUCGUUCUCCCAUCCGGGGUCCUAGAAACCCCCUUCGAAGUGCAACUGCCUCCACCACCGAAACCCACCAACGGUCACCGGUCGCCAUCCUCCAAGAACGGCGUGGGGAAUGGUGGCCUAGCACACGGUACCAAUAUGACACCGAAACCCUGCACAAACCCGAAGCUGCAGUCGCUGAUUUUGAUCAACGAUGGGACUUGCGGCGACACCAAGGUGCCGGAGAUAUUGUAAAAAAUCUGGAGUUGAGACUGAGCAUUAUAACAAGUAAAUUUACCAUCUACUAACAGUGAUCGAACGUACCGAUUCAAGACUCGAAAGCAUGUGUGUGUGUAUUUUAAAGGUGACGUAAAAAAAAUCCUUCCUUUCACAUCGGAGCAAAAAAAUCUCGACCAUGGAAAACCCCAGCAAAUAUGACGAAAGAAAACUAAUUUUCAAAUCCCCAACUCAUCGCGCGUCCGCUGAGGGAUACGGACGGACAUCUACUAGCAGCUCCGCAAAAGCAACCAACAACUACCCUAAAGGUCAACACCGGUUGGACGUCGACAUGGUAGCACCUCUGAGGUGCACCGCUCCAUAUGGACACCGACCGCGGCGCCGUACCAUCGAGCACUGGUUUAGCAGGAAUAGGAAAUUGACAAGGAAACCACCGCAGCUCCGGAUGACCAACGAACGACAAACACGUCGAGCAGCAAAGCAACCGCAAAGGCAACCGGAGCUGGCUGGAGGGCGUUUGUACAAAUUAACUCGAACCAGCAUCGCCGGAUCAAUCGAAUUGCCAGCUUCUGGUCGAAUCAAACCGUGAUUUACGUGGAAAAGCAGAGAGAAAGCGAGAGAGAGAACCUCCCACAGCUCGUUCUGCAGCAAAACCCCUUGGCGAGGAAAUGAUUACGAUUUGUUCAUCUUCAGUAACCGUUCACAGUCAACGAAGGAUAACCGGUACUCAACCAAACUCCGGGACCUUCUGCUUCUGGGCCCGAGGUAGAAGGUCCAACGCAAAAAUUGUUGUAUUUUGAUUAGGCAGAAAACCCUUCAAAUCAAUGCGUUUAUUCCUUAUCAACGUCUUUUGACAACACGACUAUUUUUCUUUUUCCAUACAUCAUGCGGGAGUUUUAAACAUUUCGUUUAAAAAAUGUUUCUCCUGUAAUAUUAGACAUCGAUGUGAUUGUAAGAGGGUUCUGAGACGUGUGAUAAAACCUUAAUUGUACUUUUUUUAAUGGUUGAUGUCCAAAUUUUCCCCAAAACUAUUUGACAUUAAAAUAUUACUUAAAGUGGCUAAAUCCUUUGGUAUUAUUUUUUUGUUCCUAAUGCAAAAUGUCAUAGAUGUAAACAGAGAGGGACUUGGUGGAGACAUCCUAGUGCCGGCAUAGUCUGGAAAUAACAAUUUGCAAACCAGGAUGCUAUCCGCAAAGAAU